GCCUUCAUGGUGUAGUGGUCAACAUGUUCGACGCGUAAACGAGAGGUUCGUGGUUCGAUUCCCAGCGAAGGCA
rnacentral:tRNA from 1 species